rnacentral:rRNA from 1 species
GAUGAACGCUGGCGGCGUGCUUAACACAUGCCAGUCGAACGGAAAGGCUCCUGCUUGCAGGGGUACUCGAGUGGCGAACGGGUGAGUAACACGUGGGUGAUCUGCCCUGCACUUCGGGAUAAGCCUGGGAAACUGGGUCUAAUACCGGAUAGGACGAUGGUUUGGAUGCCAUUGUGGAAAGUUUUUCGGUGUGGGAUGAGCUCGCGGCCUAUCAGCUUGUUGGUGGGGUAAUGGCCUACCAAGGCGUCGACGGGUAGCCGGCCUGAGAGGGUGUACGGCCACAUUGGGGCUGAGAUACGGCCCAGACUCCUACGGGAGGCAGCAGUGGGGAAUAUUGCACAAUGGGCGCAAGCCUGAUGCAGCGACGCCGCGUGGGGGAUGACGGCCUUCGGGUUGUAAACUCCUUUCGCUAGGGACGAAGCGCAAGUGACGGUACCUGGAGAAGAAGCACCGGCUAACUACGUG